rnacentral:rRNA from 1 species
GGGGAAUAUUGCACAAUGGGCGCAAGCCUGAUGCAGCGACGCCGCGUGCGGGAUGGAGGCCUUCGGGUUGUAAACCGCUUUUGUUUGGGAGCAAGCCCUUCGGGGUGAGUGUACCUUUCGAAUAAGCACCGGCUAACUACGUGCCAGCAGCCGCGGUAAUACGUAGGGUGCGAGCGUUAUCCGGAUUUAUUGGGCGUAAAGGGCUCGUAGGCGGUUCGUCGCGUCCGGUGUGAAAGUCCAUCGCCUAACGGUGGAUCUGCGCCGGGUACGGGCGGGCUGGAGUGCGGUAGGGGAGACUGGAAUUCCCGGUGUAACGGUGGAAUGUGUAGAUAUCGGGAAGAACACCAAUGGCGAAGGCAGGUCUCUGGGCCGUUACUGACGCUGAGGAGCGAAAGCGUGGGGAGCGAACA